AUGUAUAAGUACACUAUUUCUAAAUCCAAAAAGUGGCACACUUACCGCUCUUACUUACUUGAUCAUCAGACCUGUUUGCAGAUAGAUCUCCUUUGUGGAGAUUAAUGAAAAUGAAAAUGGUGGAAAUAAAAUGGUGGAAAUGAAAUUAUAUUAUUCAAAGUAGGAAGAAUGGUAGAAAGCUAUACUCUUGUGUAUGCUUUUGUAUUAUGUACGUGUGUUACUAUUACAUAUGAAUAUAUACAUGCUAGCCAACGGCAAUAAUAUGAAAAACAUGGAAAUAACAUUAAGUAACUUUAUGAUGAUUAUUGUCAAACGGUAAUAAUAAUAAUAGAUGAUAUAAGGAAAUAUCAUUAAGUGGCUUUAUGAGUAUUAUUGGGUUUGAUUCCAUGUAUUAGAGCAAUGCAUUCUGAUAAAUUACUUUCCAAUGGUUUGUUUGAUUUGAUCCAUUAACUAUGAAAUCUUCAUGAUUCUUUACACCCCCCUUCAAGGUUGGUAGAGAAUGCGGGUGAACGCCAAGCUUGAAUCGAAAUGUUACAAAGGAAUUUUUAUCCAAUGCUUUGGUGAAUACAUCUGCAAUUUGUUGAGUUGUAGGCAAGUAUUGAAGUUGGAGAUGACCGGCAGUAACUUUUUCUCGAAUGAAAUGAUAAUCAAUCUCAAUGUGUUUGGUCCGAGCAUGAAACACUGGAUUAUGAGCCAAGUGAAUUGCACUUUGGUUAUCACAAAGGAUGAGAGGACGUCGUUCAAGUUUGAUGCUGAGGUCAUGGAGGAGAUACUGGAGCCAUGUAACUCAGCAGCUGUGGUUGCUAACGACACAUGAUUCUUUACAGAGAUGUCGUCCUCACUUUCCUCCUCCAUCGUCAAGGUUGCAGAUCUAUGAUUCAGUUCGAAUAAAAAACAUUAUUUUUUAUAGAAUUGACUAUAAUAAGUUAUAAUCUUCUAGGUCACAUCUUCAAUGCAUUAUUUCUACAACUACUUUUUUUUCUUCUUCUUAUUUUACAUAAUUAGUUUCUUCAAUUAAAGAUAAUCCUAUUCGAGACAUUGCCGAACACUAAAUUUAAACAGAUUUUUUAGCUGGGCGGGAUUCAAACUUUGUUUCUACAACUUGCGGGAGUUUAAUUUAAUCCCUUCCUUCCACACUAAACCAAACUUGCUUUCUACAGCUGUUUUUUUCCUUCAUUACUCAACACUAUUAUUUCUCUUUUACAAACUUUAUCUUUGUUUGUCCUGAAAGGAUAAAAGAAAAAUAAAAAGUAAAAAAUGACCUUUAAUGUUUGUUAAAAUGUUCAUGUGAAAAUAUUUUUACUAUACUUGAAUGAUCAAUUGAAUGAGCUAAUAUAACAUACCCAACACAUUGAGGUAUCUAGGAGAUACUUAAUGAUUUUUGAUUUAUUUAUAAAUGACUUCUUACUAUUAAAAACUACUAAAUUAAAGUUAACAAUGCAUAGAGGUUUACUUAUAAAGUGAUAGACUAAUUGUCUAUUUAUCAUAUAACAAGAGAAUAAAAGAUAUGGCUAAAAUUGUCAAUUUUGUCCAAGGUUUGAUCAUCUUUUUUUCUCUAGUUGCUCUUGCAACCUGCAAGUAUCAUGUAUUCUGCUCUACUAACGAUGAUUGUCAAAACAAUGACUGUGGCGCUCCUUAUACUCCAGAGUGUCUUUGGAUUGUUUGUACCUGCCAACCUAGGAAAACAUCAACUUAAAAAAUAAAUCUAAGUUUUAUUUAAGCUUUUAUUUUCUUGUAAUUUAUGAUAAGAAUAAAUUAAAUAAAUACUAUAUUGUAUUGUCUCGGUAUUUUUAAAGUUAGACAUGUAUUAAAUUAUUGUUCAUGUUAUACUA